rnacentral:rRNA from 1 species
AUUGAACGCUGGCGGCAGGCCUAACACAUGCGAGUCGAGCGGAUGAGGAAAGCUUGCUUUUCGAUUCAGCGGCGGACGGGUGAGUAAUGCCUAGGAAUCUGCCUGUUAGUGGGGGAUAACUCGGGGAAACUCGGGCUAAUACCGCAUACGUCCUACGGGAGAAAGUGGGGGAUCUUCGGACCUCACGCUAACAGAUGAGCCUGGGUCGGAUUAGCUAGUAGGUGAGGUAAUGGCUCACCUAGGCGACGAUCCGUAACUGGUCUGAGAGGAUGGUCAGUCACACUGGAACUGAGACACGGUCCAGACUCCUACGGGAGGCAGCAGUGGGGAAUAUUGGACAAUGGGCGAAAGCCUGAUCCAGCCAUGCCGCGUGUGUGAAGAAGGUCUUCGGAUUGUAAAGCACUUUAAGUUGGGAGGAAGGGUAUUCACCUAAUACGUGGGUACUUUGACGUUACCAACAGAAUAAGCACCGGCUAACUCUGUGCCAGCAGCCGCAGUAAGAC